rnacentral:lncRNA from 1 species
UGUGUAUGAGCCUGUGGAGGACACGUUUCUGCUUCUGGACGUACUCCAGGUAGCGGCUGCCGAGCUGGCGGGAGUGGAAAUAUGCCUGGAAAUAGGGGCAGGGUCUGGUGUAGUAUCUGCAUUCCUAGCCUCUGUGAUAGGUCCUCAGGCUUUGUACAUGUGCACUGAUAUCAACCCUGAGGCAGCAGCUUGUACCCUAAAGACAGCACGGUGUAACAAAGUCCACAUUCAACCAGUUAUUACAGAUGUGGUCAAAUGUUUGCUACCAAUAUUGAAGGAAAAGUUGAUCUUCUGGUGUUUAAUCCCCUCUAUGUAGUGACUCCACCUGAAGAGGUAGGAAGUCAUGGAAUAGAGGCAGCUUGGGCUGCUGGCAGAAAUGGUCAGGAAGUCAUGCACAGGUUUUUCCCCCUUGUUCCAGAUCUCCUUUCACCAAAAGGAUUAUUCUAUUUAGUUACCAUUAAAGAAAACAACCCAGAAGACAUUUGGAAAAUAAUGAAGACAAAAGGUCUGCAAGGAACCACUGCACUUUCCAGACAAGCAGGCCAAGAAACUUUCAGUCCUCAAGUUCACCAAG